CAUAUCACGCUGAAACACCGGUUCUCCUACGAUCAUUAAUGUUAAGCAACGUCGAUCCCAGUCAGUACCUAGAUGGGUGACCGUUUGGAAAUACCAGGUACUGGAA